AGACCUGUGAAUCCUGCCUGGCCUGCAUGGAAGCAGCUUUUGGAAGACCUCGCGG
rnacentral:SRP_RNA from 14 species